GAUGAACGCUGGCGGCGUGCUUAACACAUGCAAGUCGAACGAAGCACCUUAUUCUGAUUUCUUCGGAGUGAAAAAUUUGGUGACUGAGUGGCGGACGGGUGAGUAACGCGUGGGUAACCUGCCUCACACAGGGGGAUAACAGUUAGAAAUGACUGCUAAUACCGCAUAAGACCACAGCACCGCAUGGUGCAGGGGUAAAAACUCCGGUGGUAUGAGAUGGACCCGCGUCUGAUUUGGUAGUUGGUGGGGUAACGGCCUACCAAGCCGACGAUCAGUAGCCGACCUGAGAGGGUGACCGGCCACAUUGGGACUGAGACACGGCCCAAACUCCUACGGGAGGCAGCAGUGGGGAAUAUUGCACAAUGGGGGAAACCCUGAUGCAGCGACGCCGCGUGAGCGAUGAAGUAUUUCGGUAUGUAAAGCUCUAUCAGCAGGGAAGAAAAUGACGGUACCUGACUAAGAAGCACCGGCUAAAUACGUGCCAGCAGCCGCCGUAA
rnacentral:rRNA from 1 species